UGAUAUUCUGAUUUUCAUGCGGUCACCAGAGUUAAGCAACAUCAAGCCUGGUCAGUACUUAGAUGGGUGACCACUCGGGAAUACCAGGUGGUGUAAG